rnacentral:tRNA from 1 species
GGGGUUGUAGCUCAGUGGUAAAGCACUCGCCUGGCAUGUGUGAGGCACAGGGUUCUAUCCUCAGCACCA